rnacentral:rRNA from 1 species
GAUGAACGCUGGCGGCGUGCUUAACACAUGCAAGUCGAACGAAGCAACUAUGAUUGAGACUUCGGUGGAUUGAUUAGUUGACUUAGUGGCGGACGGGUGAGUAACGCGUGGGUAACCUGCCUCGUACAGGGGGAUAACAGCCGGAACAGCUGCUAAUACCGCAUAAAGUAUACGUUUCGCAUGUGAUGUAUACCAAAGAUUUAUUGCAUACAGAUGGAUUCGCGUCCGAUUAGGUAGUUGGUGGGGUAACGGCCUACCAAGCCGACGAUCGGUAGCCGGACUGAGAGGUUGAACGGCCACAUUGGAACUGAGAUACGGUCCAGACUCGUCGCGAUAU